rnacentral:rRNA from 1 species
CUACGUAGGGUGCGAGCGUUGUCCGGAAUUAUUGGGCGUAAAGAGCUCGUAGGCGGUGUGUCGCGUCGGCCGUGAAAACCUGCAGCUUAACUGUGGGCUUGCGGUCGAUACGGGCAUCACUGGAGUUCGGCAGGGGAGACUGGAAUUCCUGGUGUAGCGGUGAAAUGCGCAGAUAUCAGGAGGAACACCGGUGGCGGAAGGCGGGUCUCUGGGCCGAAUACUGACGCUGGAGGGGCGAAAGCGUGGGGAGCAAACAGG